CGUAACAAGGUUUCCGUAGGUGAACCUGCGGAAGGAUCAUUGUCGAGACCCAAACGCUUCAUU
rnacentral:rRNA from 1 species